GGGUGACCGGAUGCCGANCUCGAAAACCUGUCCCAGUUCGGACUGGAGUCUGCGACCCGACUCCACGAAGUUGGAUUCGCUAGUAAUCGCGCAUCAGCCAUGGCGCGGUGAAUACGUUCCCGGGCCUUGUACACACCGCCCGUCAAGCCAUGGGAGCCGGGGGCGCCUGAAGUCCGGGACCGCGAGGACCGCCUAGGGCGAAACUGGUGACUGGGGCUAAGUCGUAACAAGGUAUC
rnacentral:rRNA from 1 species